rnacentral:lncRNA from 1 species
UGCAGCACAUGGAGGUUCCCAGGCUAGGGGUCUGAUCGGAACUACAGCUAUACCACAGUCACAGCCAUGCCAGAUGCAAGCCUCAUCUGCAACCUACGCCACAGCUCACAGCAAUGCCAGAUCCUUAACCCACUGAGCAAGGCCAGGGAUCAAACCUGAAACCUCAUGGUUCCUAGUCAGAUUCAUUUCCACUGCACUACAAUGGGAACUCCUCCCCUAAAGAUUUUUUUGGCAAAGACUGUGGCAUGUGGAAGUUCCCAGGCCAUGGAUUAAACCCAUGCCACAGCAGCUACCUGAGCUGCUGCAGUGACAACACCAGGACUUUAACCAGCUGUGCCACAAGGGAACUCCAUAAUUUUUUUUUUUUUUGUCUUUUUCUAGGGCCACUCCUGUGGCAUAUGGAGGUUCCCAGGCCACAGUGCGGCCCUAAAAAGAAAAAAAACACUGCAGGGAAAGAUGCAUUGCCAUCAAAGUGAGACUUGUUCCUCACCAUGAUCAGAAAUAUUAAAAAUGGAUUGCAGGAGUUCUGCUGUGGUGCAAAGGCAUUUGCGGCAACUUGGGAAGUAGGCACAGUGGGUUAAGAGUCUGGCAUUGCAGCUGUGCCUUCGGUUACAAACGCAGCUCAGAUCUGAUCCCUGGUGCAAGAGGUCCACAUGCCAAGGGGCAACCAAAUAAAUAAAAAUUUUAGAAAUUAAAAAGGAUUGCAUGUUGUCAUUGAGUCAGUUAUUAAAUGCCAUUCUGACUUCUAGCCAGGGUGUGUUCCAUGCAGACCUCCCAGAGUUGUGAAGCUCAGAGUAGUGGUUGGCAACAAACUAAAUUUUCAGUGGUUCACAGGGAUUGUGGGGCUUGGUCUAUGGUCGGAGGGUCAGCCUUUCCAGAGGAGUUCUACCAUGUUUUUGCUCCCUGCUCUGGUUUCCUUCAUUUGGUGUGAGGCAUGGGGACUAGAGCUGUUAGAAUGGACAGGGGAUUAAGUGUUCUUCAUGCUUUACAUCUUGGGGCUUAUACAGGCCCCCCCCCAGAGAAUG